GUGUCCUGAAUGUUGUCGACGCCCUGAUGCUGAUGUUUGCAGCAUAUUACUGCGUCAACAUUAGUUAUCGCUCAGAACUGGGAGCUACCCUGGAGUUCUUGCAGAGGUGCCUAUUCAAGAUCAAUUCGGACAAGGGGACUAAAGUGGAGAGGAAGGAAGAAAAACUAAAACAGCACUCGAUAAAGAUUUCGUGAAGUUCGCUGACGACACGACCGUCAUCGGCCUUAUCACCGACGGCGUACAGAGAGGAGGUAGAAAACCUGACAUCUUGGUGCCAGGAUAACAACCUCCAUCUCAACGUCAGCAAAA